CACAUAUCAUAGUCGAGUGCUUGAAUGAAUAUUUUCAUUCGAACUUUCCAAUAGGUAUAAUUAGACCCAUUGAAAAGUGAAGGUCGGUUGGUGGAUUGCCUCUCGGCUAGAGAAGUGCCGACAUGAGUUGCCAUAGAUCUUUGGCUCCUUGAUUGUUUAGAUCAAAGAAGGGCUAGAGCACCGGGCUCUGAUACCACUUGUUGCCCAGCUAUGCAACCCAAGAGGGG
rnacentral:lncRNA from 1 species